AGAAAAGAAACAGAAAUGAACCUCAAAUGUCUCUUGGCUAACCAUCACUGUUGGCAAUCUCUGGGCGAUCUGCGGGAGGGAAAACUGAAACCCAAUCCUGAGUGCUUUCUCCAUUGAACAUCUAGGACCAGAACCCACGCUUGACUGCAAGCCCAGUGCACUUUCCCCUGAUUAGAAAUGUUUCCAGAUUUAAACUCCAGUUUAUAGGCUCAUUAACAUCCCUCACUAAAGAUGAGGCAAGAGGUUUCAAAUUCUUCUCAGAAGGGAAAAACGAACUGACAUUGGAAGGUUUGGCUAUGCUGAAGGACCGUCCAAAGGUCAGCAAGCUGUCUACUGGUGAAUGGAUGCCCAUUGAGAAGCCAACGGCUAUUACUGAGCUUGUGGAAAUCCCCAGCUCCCCUCUGCGGGAGUAUUCCAUC